AUUGAACGCUGGCGGCAUGCUUUACACAUGCAAGUCGAACGGCAGCGCGGGCUUCGGCCUGGCUGCGAGUGGCGAACGGGUGAGUAAUGCAUCGGAACGUGCCCAGUAGUGGGGGAUAGCCCGGCGAAAGCCGGAUUAAUACCUCCUACGACCUGAGGGUGAAAGCGUGGGUCCGUAAUGCCUCGCGCUAUUGGUGCGGCCUAUGUCGGAUUAGCUAGUUGGUGGGGUAAAGGCUUACCAAGGCGACGAUCCGUAGCUGGUCUGAGAGGACGACCGGCCACACUGGGACUGAGACACGGCCCAGACUCCUACGGGAGGCAGCAGUGGGGAAUUUUGCACAAUGGGGGCAAGCCUGAUCCAGCAAUGCCGCGUGCGGGAAGAAGGCCUUCGGGUUGUAAAACGCUUUUGUUCGGGAAGAAAAACUCUGGGCUAAUACCCCGGGGGGAUGACGGUACCGGAAGAAUAAGCACCGGCUAACUACGUG
rnacentral:rRNA from 1 species